rnacentral:rRNA from 1 species
CCUACGGACGCAGCAGUGGGGAAUAUUGCACAAUGGGGGAAACCCUGAUGCAGCAACGCCGCGUGAGUGAAGAAGUAUUUCGGUAUGUAAAGCUCUAUCAGCAGGGAAGAGAAUGACGGUACCUGACUAAGAAGCCCCGGCUAACUACGUGCCAGCAGCCGCGGUAAUACGUAGGGGGCAAGCGUUAUCCGGAUUUACUGGGUGUAAAGGGAGCGCAGGCGGUCUGUUGAGUCAGCGGUCAAAGCCCGGGGCUCAACCCCGGCCCGCCGUUGAAACUGGCCGUCUCGAGUUGGAGAGAAGUAUGG